UACGGGGGGAGCAAGCGUUGUUCGGAUUUACUUGGGGCGUAAAAGGGCGCGUAGGCGGGCUGCAACAAGUCACUUGUGAAAUCUCCGGGCUUAACUCGGAACGGUCGAAGUGGAUACUGUUGUGCUAGGAGUGCGGAAUGGGGCAACUGGAAUUCUACGGUGUAGCGGUGAAAUGCGUAGAUAUCGAGAGGAACACCGGUGGCGAAGGCGGCAUCCUGGACCGACACAUGACGCUGGAGGAAGCGGAAAGCCCAGGGGAGCAAAACGGGA
rnacentral:rRNA from 1 species